rnacentral:rRNA from 1 species
ACGAACGCUGGCGGCAGGCCUAACACAUGCAAGUCGAGCGCACCUUCGGGUGAGCGGCGGACGGGUGAGUAACGCGUGAGAAUCUGGCUGUGGGUCGGGACAACCACUGGAAACGGUGGCUAAUACCGGAUGAGCCGAAAAGGUAAAGAUUUAUUGCCCACAGAUGAGCUCGCGUCUGAUUAGCUAGUUGGUAAGGUAAAAGCGUACCAAGGCGACGAUCAGUAGCUGGUCUGAGAGGAUGAGCAGCCACACUGGGACUGAGACACGGCCCAGACUCCUACGGGAGGCAGCAGUGGGGAAUUUUCCGCAAUGGGCGAAAAGCCUGACGGAGACAAGACCGCGUGGGGAGAGGUUUUGAUCGUAAACCCUUUGUCAAGGAAGAAGUUCUGACGGUAC